rnacentral:rRNA from 1 species
GACGAACGCUGGCGGCGUGCUUAACACAUGCAAGUCGAACGGUGAAGCCCUUCGGGGUGGAUCAGUGGCGAACGGGUGAGUAACACGUGAGCAACCUGCCCCUGGCUCUGGGACAACCACUGGAAACGGUGGCUAAUACCGGAUACGACCCGCCUCGGCAUCGAGUGUGGGUGGAAAGUUUUUCGGCUGGGGAUGGGCUCGCGGCCUAUCAGCUUGUUGGUGAGGUGAAGGCUCACCAAGGCGACGACGGGUAACCGGCCUGAGAGGGCGACCGGCCACACUGGGACUGAGACACGGCCCAGACUCCUACGGGAGGCAGCAGUGGGGAAUAUUGCACAAUGGGCGAAAGCCUGAUGCAGCGACGCCGCGUGAGGGAUGACGGCCUUCGGGUUGUAAACCUCUUUCAGCUCCGAAGAAGCGAAAGUGACGGUAGGAGCAGAAGAAGCACCGGCUAACUACGUG